CUGCCACUCGGGGCGCAGCCGUUGAGAGUACAAAGGAAGUUGGGCGGUGGCUCAGCCGUUGAGAGUUCAAAGGAAGUUGGGCGAGGCGCCUCACGCGCUGGCUCCUGCAAGAUGCUGCGCGCCCGCGGGUGCCUCGGGUGCCUCGGGUGCCUCGCUAUGGGGGCCAGAGCUUGACCAUCAUCAGAGUUGCCACUAUUGUGCACAAUGGCAUUCUGGAAAAUGUAGUCUC
rnacentral:lncRNA from 1 species